GCGGACUUGCUGGAGCUUGCUCCAGCAGGUUAGCGGCGGACGGGUGAGUAACACGUGGGCAACCUGCCUGUAAGACUGGGAUAACUCCGGGAAACCGGAGCUAAUACCGGAUAGUAUCUUGAACCGCAUGGUUCAAGUUGGAAAGACGGUUUCGGCUGUCACUUACAGAUGGGCCCGCGGCGCAUUAGCUAGUUGGUGAGGUAAUGGCUCACCAAGGCAACGAUGCGUAGCCGACCUGAGAGGGUGAUCGGCCACACUGGGACUGAGACACGGCCCAGACUCCUACGGGAGGCAGCAGUAGGGAAUCUUCCGCAAUGGACGAAAGUCUGACGGAGCAACGCCGCGUGAGUGAUGAAGGUUUUCGGAUCGUAAAACUCUGUUGUUAGGGAAGAACAAGUGCGAGAGUAACUGCUCGCACCUUGACGGUACCUAACCAGAAAGCCACGGCUAACUACGUGCCAGCAGCCGCGGUAAUACGUAGGUGGCAAGCGUUGUCCGGAAUUAUUGGGCGUAAAGCGCGCGCAGGCGGUUUCUUAAGUCUGAUGUGAAAGCCCCCGGCUCAACCGGGGAGGGUCAUUGGAAACUGGGAAACUUGAGUGCAGAAGAGGAGAGUGGAAUUCCACGUGUAGCGGUGAAAUGCGUAGAGAUGUGGAGGAACACCAGUGGCGAAGGCGACUCUCUGGUCUGUAACUGACGCUGAGGCGCGAAAGCGUGGGGAGCGAACAGGAUUAGAUACCCUGGUAGUCCACGCCGUAAACGAUGAGUGCUAAGUGUUAGAGGGUUUCCGCCCUUUAGUGCUGCAGCUAACGCAUUAAGCACUCCGCCUGGGGAGUACGGUCGCAAGACUGAAACUCAAAGGAAUUGACGGGGGCCCGCACAAGCGGUGGAGCAUGUGGUUUAAUUCGAAGCAACGCGAAGAACCUUACCAGGUCUUGACAUCCUUUGCCACUUCUAGAGAUAGAAGGUUCCCCUUCGGGGGACAAAGUGACAGGUGGUGCAUGGUUGUCGUCAGCUCGUGUCGUGAGAUGUUGGGUUAAGUCCCGCAACGAGCGCAACCCUUGAUCUUAGUUGCCAGCAUUCAGUUGGGCACUCUAAGGUGACUGCCGGUGACAACCGGAGRAANGUGGGGAUGACGUCAAUCAUCAUGCCCCUUAUGACCGGGGCUA
rnacentral:rRNA from 2 species